rnacentral:lncRNA from 1 species
GCAUAAGUUAAUAAUAGAUUGGAAUUAUUUAUAAUAAUUAUAUAUCACAUAAUAGAAAAAGGCAAAGUAGCAAAGUCAUUUAAGACUGAAGUUAUUACAUCUGUACUCAAGAAAGAAAAACAUGCGAUGUUAACAGAAAACUUCAGAGGCAUCACUGUAUACUUAUGUUUACAAGUCACAUUACCUGAAUAUCUGCGAAAGCAGUGAAAGUACUAAUAAAAUUGAUGAAUUGAAACCAUUAUUAUUCUUCAUUAAUUUUCUUAUAUGUAUAUGUAGUAAGGUGUG